GCUACAUGGAUGACUGUAGUAAUUCUAGAGCUAAUACGUUGCCUCGAUGCCCUGAUCCGCAAGGUGAGGGGUGCAUUUAUUAGAUCUCAAACCAAACGGCUUCGGUCGUGGUUUGUGAUGACUCUGGAUAACUUUGUAUGAUCGCAGCUGGCCUUGUUGUCGGCGAUGGAUCCAUCAAAUAUACUGCCCUAUCAACUGUCGAUGGUAGGUGAUAUGCCUACCAUGGUUAUGACGGGUAACGGGGAAUCAGGGUUCGAUUCCGGAGAGGGAGCCUGAGAAACGGCUACCACAUCCAAGGAAGGCAGCAGGCGCGCAAAUUACCCACUCUCUGAACGAGGAGGUAGUGAAGAUAAAUAUCGAUACAGAACUCAAUCGAGGCUCUGUAAUCGAAAUGAGUGCAUUUUAAAUCCUACAACGAGGAUCUAUUGGAGGGCAAGUCUGGUGCCAGCAGCCGCGGUAACUCCAGCUCCAAUAGCAUAUAUUAAAGUUGCUGCAGUUAAAAAGCUCGUAGUUGGAUCUGGGCUACGCUGCGAUUGCCAGUUCUGCGGUCUCAUGCUCUCGGGUGUGUGAUUGUCAGGCUGGUAUAUUCGGGCGUUGCUUCGUAGCUGUGUCCAUUCAUCUUAACCGGUGUUUGGAUAGUGCUGGAUGUCUGAGGCGACUCCUUCACGGGGGUUGUUUCGGUUCAGUUCUAUGGCUCGUUGAUGCCCUUAACCGAGUGUCCGGGACUCGCAGCACGUUUACUUUGAACAAAUUUGAGUGCUCAAAGCAGGCCGUUUGUUGCCUGAAGAUUCUUGCAUGGAAUAAUGGAAUAGUGACUUCGGUCCUAUAUUUUGUUGAGUUUGAUCGAACUCUUAACGUAGUAAUGAUAAAGAGAGACAUGACGGAGGGCAUGUUGUAUGGGCCGGCGCUACGAGGUGAAAUCUCGUGGACCGUCGCCAGACAACCUAAAGCGAAAGCAUCUGCCAAGUAUGUUUUCAUUUUCCAGGAGCGAAAGUCAGAGGUUCGAAGACGAUCAGAUACCGUCCUAGUUCUGACCAUAAACGAUGCCAACUGACGAUCCGUGGUAGUUCUUAUUAUGAGCCCACGGGCAGUCUCCGGGAAACCUGUAAGUCUAUGGGUUCCGGGGAAAGUAUGGUUGCAAAACUGAAACUUAAAGGAAUUGACGGAAGGGCACCACCAGGAGUGGAGCUUGCGGCUUAAUUUGACUCAACACGGGAAAACUCACCCGAACCGGACACUGGGAGGAUUGACAGAUUGAUUGCUCUUUCAUGAUUCAGUGGCUAGUGGUGCAUGGCCGUUCUUAGUUCGUGGUACGAGCUGUCUGGUUAAUUCCGAUAACGAACGAGACUUUAACCUGCUAAAUAGUACGGUUGCAAUCAUUAUGCGGAUUUCUGUCUUGAUGCUUCGGUGUCUUGACAGUGCCGCAUAAGCAGGUGAAACUUCUUAGAGGGACUGGCGCCCAAAAAGGCGCACGAGAAAGAGCAAUAACAGGUCUGUGAUGCCCUAAGAUGUCCGGGGCCGCACGCGUGCUACAAUGACGAUGCUACUGAGCAUGAUUUACUGUUCCGAAAGGAUUGGUAAAACUGUUCAAUCAUCGUCGUGACUGGGAUUGGGGUUUGCAAUUAUCCCCCAUGAACCAGGAAUUCCUAGUAAGCACAAGUCAUAAGCUUGUGCUGAUUACGUCCCUGCCCUUUGUACACACCGCCCGUCGCUACUACCGAUUGAAUGGUUUAGCAAGGUCAUUGGAUUGA
rnacentral:rRNA from 1 species